rnacentral:rRNA from 1 species
UACCAGCACCCCGAGUGGUCGGGACGUUUUUAUUGGGCCUAAAGCAUCCGUAGCCGGUUCUACAAGUCUUCCGUUAAAUCCAGCUGCUUAACGGAUGGGCUGCGGAAGAUACUAUGGAGCUAGGAGGCGGGAGAGGCAAGCGGUACUCGAUGGGUAGGGGUAAAAUCCGUUGAUCCAUUGAAGACCACCAGUGGCGAAGGCGGCUUGCCAGAACGCGCUCGACGGUGAGGGAUGAAGCCCUGGGGCGCAAACCGGG